rnacentral:tRNA from 1 species
AUUUAAGUAAUUUAAGUAAAAUAUUGAUUUGUGGAAUCAAAAAUAUUGAUAAUCUUAAAUA